rnacentral:rRNA from 1 species
CCUACGGGAGGCAGCAGUGAGGAAUAUUGGUCAAUGGACGCAAGUCUGAACCAGCCAUGCCGCGUGCAGGAAGACGGCUCUAUGAGUUGUAAACUGCUUUUGUACGAGGGUAAACGCAGAUACGUGUAUCUGUCUGAAAGUAUCGUACGAAUAAGGAUCGGCUAACUCCGUGCCAGCCGCCGCGGUAAUACGGAGGAUUCAAGCGUUAUCCGGAUUUAUUGGGUUUAAAGGGUGCGUAGGCGGUCGGAUAAGUUAGAGGUGAAAUCCCGGGGCUCAACUUGGGAAUUGCCUCUGAUACUGGUCGGCUAGAGAGUAGUUGAGGUAGGUGGAAUGUAUGGUGUAGCGGUGAAAUGCUUAGAGAUCAGAAAGAACACCGAUUGCGAAGGCAGCUUACCAAGCUAAUUCUGACGUUGAGGCACGAAAGCGUGGGGAGCAAACAGGAUUAGAUACCCCUGUAGUC